CCUACGGGUGGCAGCAGUGGGGAAUAUUGCACAAUGGGGGAAACCCUGAUGCAGCGACGCCGCGUGAGUGAAGAAGGUUUUCGGUAUGUAAAGUCCUAUUAGCAGGGAAGAAAAUGACGGUACCUGAUUAAGAAGCCCCGGCUAACUACGUGCCAGCAGCCGCUGUAAUACGUAGGGGGCAAGCGUUGUCCGGAUUUACUGGGUGUAAAGGGAGCGUAGACGGGAUCACAAGUCUGGUGUGAAAUGCCGGGGCUUAACCUCGGGACUGCAUUGGAAACUGUGCAUCUAGAGUGCAGGAGAGGUAAGUGGAAUUCCUAGUGUAGCGGUGAAAUGCGUAGAUAUUAGGAGGAACACCAGUGGCGAAGGCGGCUUACUGGGCUGUAACUGACGUUGAGGCUCGAAAGCGUGGGGAGCAAACAGGAUUAGAUACCCGAGUAGUC
rnacentral:rRNA from 1 species